AUAAUUGUAGUUUAAAGAAAACUUAGGUUUGUGGAGCCUGAAAUGUACUAUUGUACUAAUUAUC
rnacentral:tRNA from 1 species